rnacentral:rRNA from 1 species
GGCGAGUGAAGCGGUAAAGCUCAAAUUUGAAAUCUGGUACUUUCAGUGCCCGAGUUGUAAUUUGUAGAAUUUGUCUUUGAUUAGGUCCUUGUCUAUGUUCCUUGGAACAGGACGUCAUAGAGGGUGAGAAUCCCGUUUGGCGAGGAUACCUUUUCUCUGUAAGACUUUUUCGAAAAGUCGAGUUGUUUGGGAAUGCAGCUCAAAGUGGGUGGUAAAUUCCAUCUAAAGCUAAAUAUUGGCGAAAGACCGAUAGCGAACAAGUACAGUGAUGGAAAGAUGAAAAGAACUUUGAAAAGAGAGUGAAAAAGUACGUGAAAUUGUUGAAAGGGAAGGGCAUUUGAUCAGACAUGGUGUUUUUUGCAUGCACUCGCCUCUCGUGGGCUUGGGCCUCUCAAAAAUUUCACUGGGCCAACAUCAAUUCUGGCAGCAGGAUAAAUCAUUAAGAAUGUAGCUACUUCGGUAGUGUUAUAGCUUUUUGGAAUACUGUUAGCCGGGAUUGAGGACUGCGCUUCGGCAAGGAUGUUGGCAUAAUGGUUAAAUGCCGCCCGUCUUGAAACACGGAAACAAAA